rnacentral:lncRNA from 1 species
ACAAAUUUAUAAAACCAGCAUUAGUGUACAGUAAAUAUGGAUGAUGAUACGAACUACCCAAACAAGAAUUAGAAGGAACAAGUUGAGCUUUUUUGGCUUCACUUUAAUGUUUAGGAGGGCAUUCUAGGUCUGGCUGGUCGGAGAAGGGCAAUCGCUCAUGUUAUGAUUCAAAUAAAUAUUCCGUACUAUAUAGCAUCAUUCCCAC